CUUCCGUAGGUGAACCUGCGGAAGGAUCAUUAUU
rnacentral:rRNA from 3 species